UACGUAGGGGGCAAGCGUUGUCCGGAAUCAUUGGGCGUAAAGAGCGUGUAGGCGGCCAGAUAAGUCCGCUGUGAAAUCUCGAGGCUCAACUUCGAGCUGUCGGUGGAGACUGUCUGGCUAGAGUCCGGAAGAGGAGAAUGGAAUUCCUGGUGUAGCGGUGAAAUGCGCAGAUAUCAGGAAGAACACCCGUGGCGAAGGCGGUUCUCUGGGACGGUACUGACGCUGAGACGCGAAAGCGUGGGGAGCGAACAGG
rnacentral:rRNA from 1 species